CGAGGUGUAGCGCAGUCUGGUCAGCGCAUCUGUUUUGGGUACAGAGGGCCAAGGGUUCGAAUCCUGUCACCUUGA
rnacentral:tRNA from 1 species